GACGAACGCUGGCGGCGUGCCUAACACAUGCAAGUUGAGCGACGAACCAGGGCUUGCCCUGGGGCAAAGCAGCGAACGGGUGAGUAACACGUGGGUAACCUGCCCCGAUAACCGGGACAACCCGAGGAAACUCGGGCUAAUACCGGAUGUGCUCGUCAAACCCAAGUUUGACGCGUAAAGGAAGCUUCGGCCUCCGUAUCGGGAGGGGCCCGCGUCCGAUUAGCUCGUUGGUGGGGUAACGGCUCACCAAGGCGACGAUCGGUAGGUGGUCUGAGAGGACGAUCACCCAGACUGGGACUGAGACACGGCCCAGACUCCUACGGGAGGCAGCAGUCGGGAAUUUUGCUCAAUGGGCGAAAGCCUGAAGCAGCAACGCCGCGUGAGGGAUGAAGGCCUUCGG
rnacentral:rRNA from 1 species